rnacentral:rRNA from 1 species
AUUGAACGCUGGCGGCAUGCCUUACACAUGCAAGUCGAACGGUAACGGGCCUUCGGGUGCCGACGAGUGGCGAACGGGUGAGUAAUGCAUCGGAACGUACCAUUGAGUGGGGGAUAACGUAGCGAAAGUUACGCUAAUACCGCAUAUUCUGUGAGCAGGAAAGCAGGGGAUCGCAAGACCUUGCGCUCUUUGAGCGGCCGAUGUCGGAUUAGCUAGUUGGUGGGGUAAAGGCCCACCAAGGCUACGAUCCGUAGCGGGUCUGAGAGGAUGAUCCGCCACACUGGGACUGAGACACGGCCCAGACUCCUACGGGAGGCAGCAGUGGGGAAUUUUGGACAAUGGGGGCAACCCUGAUCCGGCCAUGCCGCGUGAGUGAAGAAGGCCUUCGGGUUGUAAAGCUCUUUCGGCCGGGAAGAAAUCGUGUGGGCUAAUACCCUGCAUGGAUGACGGUACCGGAAUAAGAAGCACCGGCUAACUACGUGCCAGCCGCCGCGGUAAUAC